rnacentral:sRNA from 1 species
UGACAUCUAGUCAUAUUUGACUCCAAAACACUAAACAAGCUUCUUCUUGCUUCUCAAAGCUUUGAUGGUGACAUCGAAGUCCGUAUGAGUCUUUGGCUUUGUAUCUUCUAACAAGGAAACAUUACUUAGGCUUUUAAGAUCCGGUUGCAGUUCUUGUUCUUAUACUCAACCAUACAAAUGACAUCUAGUCAUAUUUGACUCCAAAAUACUAACCAAGCUUCUUCUUGCUUCCCAAAGCUUUGAUCGUGAAGCCGAAGUCCGUAUGAGUCUUUGGCUUUUUAUCUUCUAACAAGAAACUAAUACUUAAGC